rnacentral:rRNA from 1 species
AACGAACGCUGGCGGCAUGCCUAACACAUGCAAGUCGAACGAACCCUUCGGGGUGAGUGGCGCACGGGUGCGUAACACGUGGGAACCUGCCCUUAGGUUCGGAAUAACAGUUAGAAAUGACUGCUAAUACCGGAUAAUGUCUUCGGACCAAAGAUUUAUCGCCUUUGGAUGGGCCCGCGUAGGAUUAGCUAGUUGGUGAGGUAAAGGCUCACCAAGGCGACGAUCCUUAGCUGGUCUUAGAGGAUGAUCAGCCACACUGGGACUGAGACACGGCCCAGACUCCUACGGGGGGCAGCAGUGGGGAAUAUUGGACAAUGGGCGCAAGCCUGAUCCAGCCAUGCCGCGUGAGUGAUGAAGGCCUUAGGGUUGUAAAGCUCUUUCACCGGGGAAGAUAAUGACGGUAUCCGGAGAAGAAGCCCCGGCUAACUUCGUGCCAGCCGCCCGCCGUAACAC